rnacentral:rRNA from 1 species
GAUGAACGCUGGCGGCGUGCCUAAUACAUGCAAGUCGAGCGAACAGAUGAGGAGCUUGCUCCUCUGACGUUAGCGGCGGACGGGUGAGUAACACGUGGAUAACCUACCUAUAAGACUGGGAUAACUUCGGGAAACCGGAGCUAAUACCGGAUAAUAUUUUGAACCGCAUGGUUCAAUAGUGAAAGACAGUUUUGCUGCCACUUAUAGAUGGAUCCGCGCCGCAUUAGCUAGUUGGUAAGGUAACGGCUUACCAAGGCAACGAUGCGUAGCCGGCCUGAGAGGGUGAUCGGCCACACUGGAACUGAGACACGGUCCAGACUCCUACGGGAGGCAGCAGUAGGGAAUCUUGCGCAAUGGGCGAAAGCCUGACGCAGCAACGCCGCGUGAGUGAUGAAGGUCUUCGGAUCGUAAAACUCUGUUAUUAGGGAAGAACAAAUGUGUAAGUAAAUAUGCACGUCUUGACGGUACCUAAAGAGAAAGCCCCGGCUAACUACGUG